rnacentral:lncRNA from 1 species
GGCAUUGCUUACAGGGGUCACAGACAUUCAGAUCAUGGCAGAACUGUCACAGAUGUUACUUUGUGAAAACACAAAGAAUAAUGUGUUUGGAGAGAUCAGUCUUCAAUUAGCUAUAUUUUCUAGGAGCCUACCUUUACUUAGCCUCACAACAUGGGCCUUAGCUUUAGCACUUAAUCUGCACAAAUACCUGGCUUAAGUGUUAUGACUGACUGGCUAUUCAACCAAACCAUACAAAUGACCAAUUCGGUAAGAAAGCAUGAACUUCAGUGUUGAACCAAAUCAACCAACCUCCUCAAUCCAAAUGAACAAUGCUAUUCUAGGAGUCUGUGCUAGAAUAAAAUCCUAAUGCAAAGGCUGUCUUAAAAUGCUGAACCCAGAAGAAUUUGGCAUAAAUAAGACAUGGAGUUAGCUGACAUGAGAUAUUACAUUUAUUCCACUGUUGACGAGGACAAAACUGGGCCGCUAUUGUCACAGGCUUGCAGAGCUCAAACCAUUACACCAUUCAGAAGCUGGCUUUGGUAUUACUUCAAGUUAUUCAAAACAGUCACCACUUGCUGAGCCUCUGAUGUCUCAUCUGUUGAAUGGAUUUCAAGAGAGAAGGCUGAAAAGGAAGGUGACUGGAAUAUUAAGAACUGUGAGAUAUUCUGAGGAAACUCUAAUUUGUAAAUUGGUAGAAAUGCCAGUAAUUUGUUGGGAAUUGAAGACCCUCUGUAUUCAAGAGCGAAGCUUGGCAGCUGUGCACUGUUGUUUUAUAAAUCAAUAUUA